CAUGCGCAGAAGAGCUCCCAGGGCCCGGUAGGCGGGCCUCAGAAGAAGAAGGGGGCGGGGCUGAAACUUUUUUUUUUCAAGCGCGGAGCAUGCGUGGUAGGACUAGGCGCGUGCCACGCGCUGCUGCUCCAGCCAGCCCUGCGUCCUCAACGUCCCAGUUUCUUCCUUCGAGCCCCGGGAGUGGUAUCGGCGGGAGUUCCGCCCUGCGCGUGGCAGGGAGGGUGGUGCUGGGCCCUGUGCAUUUCCGCUAGGCAAACCCGAGCCCGCGCGACUUGUCUGGUACGCCCAGAGGCCCCUUCGUGGCCAGGGCGGCUGAUUCCCAGCGGUUCCCAGCACGGGGCAGAGGAGGAGGGCGUUGCGGGGUGGAGGCGAGAUCCGGAAGUAGGCCUCUAUCAUUGCACACUCUGACAAGCCUCUUCAUUGGAACUGAACCUGAUUUUUUUUUUACGACGCCUGCCCUAGUUUCAGAUUUUUUUUACACUUGAUCUUAGAAGACUGAGAAGCGAUAGUUCCAAAUCUUUUAAUAAACAGACAUGCUCAUUAAUGAGGUGCUGGACACAUUACAGCCCUACUGAGAACCAGGCAGAGAGGGAACCCAGAAAGUCCAGACGGGUUGCUGAUUAGCACACGAUUAGCCAACAGAAUCAGACAUGAAGUCAUCCAGUUCCCACCAGUGGUCGGAGAUGCAGACAACACUUACAUCAGGGAUAAAAGGCAGAAGCCAUCUCACUCCCUCACCACUUACUAACAUAACCACUUACUAACCUAACCACUUACUAACCUAACCACUUACUAACCUAACCACUUACUAACCUAACCACUUACUAACCUAACCCAGUUUGGGUUUUGGUACACCUGUUGUUGUUGCUGUUGUUGUUGCUGUUGUUGUUGCUGUUGUUGCUGCUGCUGCUGCUGUUGUUGUUUGUAACGAGAAUCGCCUUUGAAGCUACCUUCCUUCUGUUUGUGUCCCUGAGUGCCACAGUGAAUUCUCUAUUUCUAACCACCAGUGUACGUAGUCUAAGGCCUUACCACCUUGAAUAACAUCAGUGGACAUGCCAUGCCAAUUCAGAUUGGGGGAGUUCCACAAGGCCCCAUUUGUAGAUGAAGUGCUACAGGCAAUCAAAGGUUGCUGAAAGAGGGGGAAUUGGGCUUCUUCAGGGACAAGACCCUUGAUAAAUAAAUUAUCGCAUCCCAAAUAUACAGCCAUAAACUAAAUGGGCUCUGUAGGUUUGUGUGUGUGUGUGUGUGUGUGUGUGUGUGUGUGUGUGUGUGUGUGUGUGUGUAAAACAUAUCAUUAGAUAGAUAGAUAGAUAGAUAGAUAGAUAGAUAGAUAGAUAGAUAGAUAGAUAGAGAUAGAUAGAUAAUGAUAUGUGUUACAAUAACAAUUAUACAAGAAGAAGAGGUCAUGAACUUGACAGGAAAUGGAGAGAGGUAGAAAAUUUGUUUUGGUGAUGUGGUGGAUUGGUUUCAAGACAGGGUUUCUCUGUAUAGACCUGUCUAUCAUGGAAUUCAUUCUGUAGACUAAGUUGGCCUCUGACUCAGAGAUCCAUCUGCCGAUUUCUGCUUCCCCAAAGCUGGAAUUAAAGGAAUGCCCUACCAUACCCUUCAGAAAAGAUUUAAAUGCAAUUCAGAUCCUGUACACGUGUCCCAGGCUACCAGACUCCCUCCCUUCCCCUGCCAACCAGGAACCAGCCUGACUACAAUUACUUACUAUGGAAUGCCCAUCAGUCACAUGGUAUAGAGCCAGCUCCCUCCUCUGAAAUGUAUAAGAAGGGACAUUAUUGUGCCACAUGGGCCUACACUCCCUUCAGGGUACCCACAGUUGUCUUUCAGUCAAUCAAAAUUGUCAACUCGAUUAAUAAAUCUUUGACCCGAAGA